GAAUUGGAAGUUUGUCGGCUUAGACCUGGUGUCAUUCCAUCAGUGUUAAACUUCCCGGCUCAUCUUGGAAGAGUACGUGCCAGAAAGACCACGACCAAGCAGCCUUGAGAUCUUAGACAGCGUCUCCCUGAGGUCCCUCUCUAUCUCCCCACACAUCCACCAACCACUGGAACACAUCUCCAAAGUUCUGCAGGGCCAGCUCAGCUUCCCCUCAGAAGAAGUGCCGCCACCUGCCAGAUGAAGGAGCCUUUUGAGAGGCAGCUGGCAUCGUGAUUGGACUGUACUUUGGUCUGUUCCAAUCCAGCUUCAGCUCCAGAGACGGCAGGCGGGACGAGUCAACGGAGGCCGGGUGGACGAAGACCAAAGAACUACAGACUCUUCACAACCUGCUCAAACUCUUGGUACAGGACCUCACCACACGGGUCAAGAAGGUUUCCAUCUCCUCAUUUCUACUCUGAAGCUCACUUUCUCCU
ensembl:lncRNA